rnacentral:misc_RNA from 1 species
GAUGAAGAACGCAGCGAAAUGCGAUAAGUAAUGUGAAUUGCAGAAUUCAGUGAAUCAUCGAGUCUUUGAACGCACAUUGCGCCCCCUGGUAUUCCGGGGGGCAUGCCUGUCCGAGCGUCAUUGCUGCCCUCAAGCACGGCUUGUGUGUUGGGCCCCCGCCCCCCGGCUUCGGGGGGCGGGCCCGAAAGGCAGCGGCGGCACCGCGUCCGGUCCUCGAGCGUAUGGGGCUUCGUCACCCGCUCUGUAGGCCCGGCCGGCGCCCGCCGGCGACCCCAAUCAAUCUUUCCAGGUUGACCUCGGAUCAGGUAGGGAUACCCGCUGAACUUAAGCAUAUAAUAAGCGGAGGA